GCCUGGUUGGUCUAGGGGUAUGAUUACUCCGGAUGCGAAAGGUCCAGGGUUCAAAUCCCGGAAAAGCCC